rnacentral:pre_miRNA from 1 species
GACCCUGUAGAACCGAGCUUGUGUUGACUAAUUGAAAUCACAAGCCUAUUCUACAGUGUACA